rnacentral:rRNA from 1 species
UACGGAGGGUGCGAGCGUUGUCCGGAAUCACUGGGCGUAAAGGGCGCGUAGGUGGCCCGAUGAGUCAACGGUGAAAGCUCGGCGCUUAACGCCGAGUCGGCCGUCGAUACUGUCGGGCUCGAGCACUGUAGAGGCAGGUGGAAUUCCGGGUGUAGCGGUGGAAUGCGUAGAGAUCCGGAAGAACACCGGUGGCGAAGGCGGCCUGCUGGGCAGUUGCUGACACUGAGGCGCGACAGCGUGGGGAGCAAACAGG